rnacentral:rRNA from 1 species
UGCCCCAGUAACGGCGAGUGAAGCGGCAACAGCUCAAAUUUGAAAUCUGGCCCCCAGGGUCCGAGUUGUAAUUUGCAGAGGAUGCUUCGGGCGCGGUGCCUUCCAAGUCCCCUGGAACGGGGCGCCGGAGAGGGUGAGAGCCCCGUACGGUUGGCGGCCAAGCCUAUGUGAAGCUCCUUCGACGAGUCGAGUAGUUUGGGAAUGCUGCUCUAAGCGGGAGGUAGACCCCUUCUAAAGCUAAAUAUUGGCCAGAGACCGAUAGCGCACAAGUAGAGUGAUCGAAAGAUGAAAAGCACUUUGAAAAGAGGGUUAAAUAGCACGUGAAAUUGUUGAAAGGGAAGCGCUUGCGACCAGACGUGCGCCGGGGUGCUCAGCGGGCGUUCUCGCCCGUGCACUCGCCCCGGUGCAGGCCAGCGUCGGUUUGAGCGGGGGGAUAAAGGCGCCUGGAACGUGGCUCCCUCGGGAGUGUUAUAGCCAGGCGUGCCAUGCCCCCGCCCGGACCGAGGUACGCGUUCUGCAAGGACGCUGGCGUAAUGGUCCCCAGCGACCCGUCUUGAAACACGGACCAAGGAGUCGAGGUUUUGCGCGAGUGUUUGGGUGUCAAACCCGCACGCGUAAUGAAAGUGAACGUAGGUGGGAGCUUCGGCGCACCACCGACCGAUCCUGAUGUUUUCGGAUGGAUUUGAGUAAGAGCGUAGGGCCUCGGACCCGAAAGAUGGUGAACUAUGCUUGGAUAGGGUGAAGCCAGAGGAAACUCUGGUGGAGGCUCGCAGCGGUUCUGACGUGCAAAUCGAUCGUCAAAUCUGAGCAUGGGGGCGAAAGACUAAUCGAACCAUCUAGUAGCUGGUU